GGAUCCAGACUUUGAUCCUGCUCAGGAUGAACGCUAGCGGCAGGCCUAACACAUGCAAGUCGAGGGGCAGCACGGUGUAGCAAUACACUGGUGGCGACCGGCGCACGGGUGCGUAACGCGUAUGCAACCUACCCAUAACAGGGGGAUAACACUGAGAAAUUGGUACUAAUACCCCAUAACAUCAGGACCGGCAUCGGUUCUGGUUGAAAACCCCGGUGGUUAUGGAUGGGCAUGCGUUGUAUUAGCUGGUUGGUGAGGUAACGGCUCACCAAGGCAACGAUACAUAGGGGGACUGAGAGGUUAACCCCCCACAUUGGUACUGAGACACGGACCAAACUCCUACGGGAGGCAGCAGUGAGGAAUAUUGGUCAAUGGACGCAAGUCUGAACCAGCCAUGCCGCGUGCAGGAAGACGGCUCUAUGAGUUGUAAACUGCUUUUGUACGAGGGUAAACGCUCUUACGUGUAAGAGCCUGAAAGUAUCGUACGAAUAAGGAUCGGCUAACUCCGUGCCAGCAGCCGCGGUAAUACGGAGGAUCCAAGCGUUAUCCGGAUUUAUUGGGUUUAAAGGGUGCGUAGGCGGUUUGAUAAGUUAGAGGUGAAAUACCGGUGCUUAACACCGGAACUGCCUCUAAUACUGUUGAACUAGAGAGUAGUUGCGGUAGGCGGAAUGUAUGGUGUAGCGGUGAAAUGCUUAGAGAUCAUACAGAACACCGAUUGCGAAGGCAGCUUACCAAACUAUAUCUGACGUUGAGGCACGAAAGCGUGGGGAGCAAACAGGAUUAGAUACCCUGGUAGUCCACGCAGUAAACGAUGAUAACUCGCUGUCGGCGAUACACAGUCGGCGGCUAAGCGAAAGCGAUAAGUUAUCCACCUGGGGAGUACGUUCGCAAGAAG
rnacentral:rRNA from 1 species